AGAUGAUAAAAAAAUAAUUUAUUUUCUGGUCUUUUGUAGUUAUCCAAUUUAGUUAACUGUGUCAAAUCAAAUUUCUUCCUUACGCAAUUUCUGCUAGAGAGGAAUAACAGUGCAAAGUGCAAAUGUGUCUCGCUAUUAAGUUUAAUGAAAGAAUUAAAUGACCACUGACCAUUGGUCAAGAAUGCCACAGAAUUAGUUCUUGGACAUAUUGGUGGAGCCAAGUUAUCUGAAAGACGUUUGACAGCAAUAGCCUCCAGUCGAACUCUGGCAGCAGGAUAAUCUUUAAGGACUUCCCACAUAUCUUGUUUAUAUAGGCAAAACAAAUCAGAAUAUCCCACAGAACGUACGGAUGCGGUUCUUCUAUUUCCAGCCGUUCCCAUA